UACAGAGGGUGCAAGCGUUAAUCGGAAUUACUGGGCGUAAAGCGUGCGCAGGCGGCUUUGCAAGACAGAUGUGAAAUCCCCGGGCUCAACCUGGGAACUGCAUUCGAGACUGCAUGGCUGGAGUACGGAAGAGGAGGGCGGAAUUCCCGGUGUAGCGGUGAAAUGCGUAGAUAUCGGGAGGAACAUCAGUGGCGAAGGCGGCCCUCUGGUCCAGUACUGACACUCAAGUGCGAAAGCGUGGGGAGCAAACAGG
rnacentral:rRNA from 1 species